rnacentral:rRNA from 1 species
AUUGAACGCUGGCGGCAUGCCUUACACAUGCAAGUCGAACGGUAGAGCAGCAAUGCUUGAGAGUGGCGAACGGGUGAGUAAUAUAUCGGAACGUGCCCAGUCGUGGGGGAUAACGUAGAGAAAUUUACGCUAAUACCGCAUACGAUCUAAGGAUGAAAGCGGGGGACUCGCAAGAGCCUCGCGCGAUUGGAGCGGCUGAUAUCAGAUUAGGUUGUUGGUGAGGUAAAAGCUCACCAAGCCGACGAUCUGUAGCUGGUUUGAGAGAACGACCAGCCACACUGGGACUGAGACACGGCCCAGACUCCUACGGGAGGCAGCAGUGGGGAAUUUUGGACAAUGGGCGAAAGCCUGAUCCAGCAAUGCCGCGUGUGGGAAGAAGGCCUUCGGGUUGUAAACCACUUUUGUACGGAACGAAACGGUCUGCUUUAAUACAGCGGGCUAAUGACGGUACCGUAAGAAUAAGCACCGGCUAACUACGUGCCAGCAGCCGCGGUAAUACGGAGGGUGCAAGCGUUGUCCGGAUUUAUUGGGUUUAAAGGGUGCGUAGGCGGUU